CAUUGGGAAUGGAGGGAAAUAAAUGACUGGAUGGUCGCUGCUUUUUAAGUUUCAAAUUGACACUCUAGGCAAGCGGUGCCUGAGCCCGUGCCUGUCUUCAGAUCUUCACAGCACAGUUCCUGGGAAGGUGGAGCCACCAGCCUCUCCCUGUCCUGGAGGCUGGAAGUGCAAGAGGAAGGUGUCGGCAAGAUCGUUUUUUUCUGAGAGCUCUCUUCUUGGCUUGCAGAUGGCAGCCUUCUCCUGGCGCAGUCUUUUCUCUACUCACGCCCAAAGUUACAGAGGACCCAGCAACCAUCUCCUGCAGCCCCUGGAAACCUCUUGACUCUUCUGUGAUGUUCCCAGUGAUCCAGCAGCCCCGGCCUUCUUCUGAUGGCUUGAACAUUUGGUCUUCAUUGAACAGUUUGUAUAUUGGAAACUUGGCAGCCUCCAUCCACAUUCCAACCUCCUUCUGCAUCCCUCGAAUAACUGGGAGAUGAAACAGGAAGCUCUAUGACACACUUGAUCGAAUAUGACAGACACCGAAAAUCACGACUCAGCCCCCUCCAGCACCUCUACCUGUUGCCCGCCGAUCACAGCCAGAAUGCAGCUGAAAGAUUCCCUGGGGCCUGGUUCCAACCGCCCGCUGUGGACUCUGAGGCCUCUGCAUUUGCGGGUGGUCUGCCUGUGAUAUUUUGGUCAUGGUCUGGUCAGGUCGGUUUCCCAUUUGUCUGGCCAGUCUCUAUGUGUCUUAAUCCCUUGUCCUUCAUUAAAAGCAAAACU
rnacentral:lncRNA from 1 species